GCUAAAUCAUCAGCAAACUGUAAAUUGCUGACUUCAUUACCAAGAAUAAUAUUAAUUUUAUGAAUAUACAAAAUAAAUAACAGUGGACUCAAUAUUCCUCCUUGACAUACACCUAUAUAUGAAGAUUGUGGACCAUAUAAAUUAUUAUUGUACUUAACAUAGACUUGUCUAUUAUGUAGGAAAUUAAAAAUCCAGUUAAUCAACUUAUCUGGUAUUCCUAGUGUUUGCAGUUCAUUAGUUAGAAUAUGAUGAUUAACAUUGUUAAAAGCACCAACUAUAUCAAAGAAGACAGAAACCAGUAUAUUGUUACUAGAAAAAGCACGAUGAAUAUCUAGGUUUAAAUGAUUUAAGCUCUCUGUAGCUGAAAAACCUUUCCUGAAGCCAAACUGAUUUGAAGAUAACUGAUAGAGGAGUUUGCCGAUUGAUCGACUCACAGAAUUUUAACCAGCUGGCAUUUCUUUCGUUUUUGAGAUGUUACAUAAAAGGUGGGUGAUGGUUGGAAGAUGAUAGCUCCCUAAAGGAUUAUCAUGUACAGACCAAUUGCAUCGGAGUGACAGAGAGGCAGAAACAAUUGUAAGAUCCAGAGCACUUGGACUCCAUAUAUCAGAGCCUACAGUAGUGGGUUGACCAUUAUUAAUUAUA